UGCUCUGAUGAUUCAUGAUAAC
rnacentral:siRNA from 1 species